rnacentral:lncRNA from 1 species
UGAUAUUCUAAAUUACAGAUAAGCAAGCAUGAAGAAGAAGAGAUUAGAAAGAAAAACACAGUUGAUGCUUUGAAUCUUCUUCCAAUGAUUGUAAAUCUUCCUCCUUGAAUUCCUUGAUCUCUUGUUUUUGCCUUGAGUUUUCUUUUUCAAUGCCAAAAAAAUCCCCAUUUUCUUGGACUUUUUCAUGGUAUUUAUCUUUCCCAAAAGUUAAAGAUGAGAAGGAUUGGAUCUGGGCCAAAAAAUUUGCGCUUUCCUCUUUUUUUUCUGUAGCGCCCAGAAUUAGCGCCGUGACCUUUUUUUAGAUAGUGCCGUGGCGCUAGGUCGGCUUACUGAAACUAUUUUUUUUUUGUUGGGCGCCGCGGCGCCAGCUCUUUCUGUUGAUUCUUGUUAUUUUCCUUGGGCGCUUGGGCGCCCAAUUCUUGCGUCACGGCAUCCAUGAAGCUAUCUCUUCUUGUUUUAUUCAAUUUUUACACUUCGUUUCCAUGUUCUUUUCCUUUGAUUCUCCUCACUUCAUACUCGAAUUUUAAGAUCUUCAUUACGGCUUCAUCGCAACUCCACAAUGUGGUGUUUUCUUAAAAGUUGUCUAAGCUACAAAACAACAUGAAUACACAUGUCAAAACGUUCAAAAGUGCUCAAGAACAAACAAAAAACUUGAUUUAGAGACGUUAAUUUAAUGAUUGAAUUACACUCAUCAAUAUAGAAGGUAUGGCAGGUGGCUUACCGCCUUAAUCUACCUCCACAGCUCACAUCCAACCUGUGUUCCAUGUGUCCUAGCAAAGACGGGCAACAGAGGCGUUUCAAGUAGUAGAGGAGUUACCCUCACAACUAAGUGAGGAGUUGGAAUUGUUGGUGGAACCAGAGGCGGUGCUCGAGAUAAGGCCAAGUACUGCGAUAAUAUCCAUGGCAAUGACGUUUUGAUUCAAUGGAAGGGAAUGCCUCCCUUGGAAGCAACUUGGGAACCCUAUGACUUAAUCAAUCAACAGUUUCUCUCCUUUCACCUUGAGGACAAGGUGAAACUUAAAGGGAGGAGUAAUGAUAGACUACCAAUUAAAGUGACAUAUGCAAGACACAACCAGGCGAGUCAGGGCAGGGGCAGCAAGGAUGGUAAAGCAGGGUAGCAAUAAGAAAUCACGUGAGCUUUAAAUGUCCACAACCAACAGCAUGUGCAAACCGUUAAUGAGAGAAUUCUAGAAGAUCAGCAGCAACUUAAAAAGC